GUCAAAAAUUUUAACACAAGAGUUUAGUGUUAAACAGUUGUCUUUUCUGAGGUUUAAUAAAGAUAAUUUCAUACAAUGAAAGUUUAAACUCUGAAGACACAAAUCUGUAGAUGCCAUAAUUUUUGUUGUGCUUUUAUAGCCGUCCACUAAGUUUGUCAUUCUGCAGGCAGAUUUUUUCCUCCCAGACUCUACUCCCUUUGCAUUUUUUAGCAGCUCAGCUGUUGGCUGCAGUGUUUAACACACUCAUUAUAGUUUCUUGUGUGAAUUACCGGUAAGCAUCCCACAAUGCAAUGCUGUAUUACUUGUAUUCCUCCAUUGUUAGUUGAUGAGUUUUUGUGCAUUUUAUUUCAUAGCCACCAUUUAAUGGUGAUUUUGACAUACAUUUAUAAAGUUUUGAGGUCUGUUGUAGAUGAUGUUUUGUUUUAACAUGCAUGUACAUCAUAACAUGUAUAUGCCAGGAAUGUUGAUUUUAUAUUAACUGAUUAGUUAGGUAUAAUGAUAGUUUAGUUAUGUCAGAAAUAUACCAAGUUUUACAAAAGCUACUGCCUUUUUGUUUUAUACCGAAUGCAUACUGUUUAGAAUCUGAAUUAAAGUUUCGAUUUUGUUAAUGUCUCCUAGCAUAAUAGGUAUGAGUGUGUGUGACCACACUGGUGUUCCAAUUCAUUGUCUGCAGUAAAAGAAAACAUCCUGUUGUCUGUUCAGCAUUUAGUGGUGUCUUAGUACCAAUACUCUAACUGAUAUCAGUGAUAUUUUUUUUUCUAUACAUCAGGGACAAAUCUUUCGUUCUGGAAACAGACCUCUAAUCAAAUGGUAGUCAUGUAUAAAAGAGCCGACAUUUGUGAUACAAAUAUCAUUUUAACAUCUUCACACUUUGUACUCGAUAUUCGAGAGGUAGUUUUUCUGUUCAAUGAAUUUGGUGUCUCUUUCCAGCCAUCAUUUGUUAAUUAUUGUGUAUUUACAAUCUAUCAUAGAUUAAUGUGUACCGGUAAAAAACAAAGAUCAUAUUGUCAGAAACAAAACUGUACAAAGGAAAUUCUAUUUGAGGCAUUUUAGAAAUAUUUUUCAUGACAUCUUGUAGCAUUGUCUUUUUAGUUAUUAAUUACUAGUCAUGAUUAUAUUUUAAAUGAACAGAUUUUAUGUAAUGAUUUCUGUGUAGAGGUUUUCCUUGCCAAACAUAUACUGCAGAAAUGUUACCCUUUUGUUAAUAAACAUUUUAAAGAAGUAAAGUGUCAAACCUUG
rnacentral:misc_RNA from 1 species